GGGAGGUAGGGGAGGUAGAGGGAGGUAGAGGUAGGUAGGGGGUAGAGGGGAGGUAGAGGGAGGUUGUGGGAGGUAGAAGGAGGUAUAGGGAGGUAGAGGGGGUAGGGGGAGGUAGAGGAGGUAUAGGGAGGCAGUGGGAGUUAGGGGGAGGUAGAGGGAGGCAGUGGGAGGUAGAGGGAGGCAGUGGGAGUUAGGGGGAGGUAGAGGAAGGUAGAGGGAGGUAGAGAGAGGCAGUGGGAGGUAGGGGAGGUAGAGGGAGGUAGAGGGAGGUAGAGGUAGGUAGGGGGAGGUAGAAGGAGGUAUAGGGAGGUAGAGGGAGGGUAGGGGGAGGUAGAGGAAGGUAGAGGGAGGUAGAGGGAGGCAGUGGGAGUUAAGGGGAGGUAGAGGGAGGCAUUGGAAGGUAGAGGGAGGCAGUGGGAGUUAGGGGGAGGUAGAGGAAGGUAGAGGGAGGUAGAGGGAGGCAGUGGGA
ensembl:lncRNA